AUGAAUGUAAAAGACUCAGCCGUCAUUUCAUCAGCAUUAAUGCUCAUCGUUUAUUUGUUUUCUUUUUUAAACUCGGAGAUUGUUUUGACUCAGCCAGAGGCAGAGACUGUCCAACCCGCACGCAGCCUGAAACUGACCUGUAAAACCAGCGGUUCCGAUAUCAGCAGCUGCAGCAUGCAUUGGGUCCGCCAGAUUCCUGGACAGGGUCCGAAGUGGCUGCUGUACUACUAUAAUUCAAACAGCCAUAACUAUGCACCAGCGAUUAAGGGUCGAUUUACCGCAUCCAAAGACACUUCAAACAACAUUUUCGCGUUGUACAUGGGGAACCUGAAGAUCGAAGACACCGCCGUCCAUUACUGUGCAAAUGACUCUCUUGGCUACUGGGGCCAAGGGACCAUGGUGACUGUGACUUCAGAGACACCAUGUCCCCCCACGCUUUAUGGCCUGGUCUCCUCCUGUGAGGAGCACAACACCGGUUCUGUGAUCUAUGGUUGCUUGGCGAUGGACUAUUCCCCUGAGGUCACCAAGAUAACCUGGAAGAAAGGUGGGGAGCUAAUCACGACUGGAUUGAAGACUUAUCCAUCAGUGAGAAACAAGAAGGCAGCUUACACCCUGAGCAGCCAGUUAACCCUGUCCGAGUCAGCGGUAGGUUGCUCCAGCAAAAUCUACUGUGAGGUUCAACACAGCGGGUCACACAAGACCAAAGACAUGCCGUGUCCGGGUAUUCUCCAACCAACUGUUCUCCUAACUGUGAGCUCCAGUGAAGAAAUCGGAAGCAGCAAGUUUGCAACCGUCGUCUGUUCAAUCAUCGAUUUCCAUCCGAAGUCUAUCUCGGCGAAUGGAAACUUCUCGGUGACGAGUCGACUGAUGGUCCCUUAUGGUGAAUGCUUCAACAGCGCCGUCUAUACCUGCCAAGUCACUCAUGGAGAGAACAUUCAAAGUAAAAACAUCACCGCACUCCAGGGGACAUUUUUCAUUGACUUUGAUUUUCGUUUCAUGGAAGAUACCGAGUGCCACCCUUACACCGUUAAAAUCAUCCCACUGCCAGUAGAAAAAGUCUUACUGGAGGCGACGGUGAUGUUAACCUGCUUUGUGUCCAAUCUUCCUUCUGGAGUCAACGUGACCUGGAAAGAAGGAAAGAAACCUCUGAAAUCAGAGAUUGCUGACCAGCCUGGACAGAAUCCCGACAGCCUGAUCAGCAAAUUAGACAUUUCUACUGAAGCCUGGCUGACUGGCGUUACUUUUUAA